UAGCUCCAACUCUCUUUGUAUAAUUAUUUAUAUAAAUCUUACUUUUGGCAACUAACUUAGAAGUCGAGUUGCAGGCAACCACUUUGAAAAUGAAGUACUAGCACAAGGAUUUUGCUAGUCAAGGGUUCAGGAUGGCUGCUGAAUGUGCACUAAAUUCUUAAAUUCUGGUUGCAACAAAGGAAUAAGCAGAUAAUUCAUUGAAUUCUUGUGGCAGGAGUUCUUACUCUUGCAGUGUUAAGGUUUCUUGUGAUGCUAGCGCAUUUAAGGAGGUUGAUGAAGUUUUAUAACUUGAUAUGGAAAGGACUGAGAGCUAGAACAAAGAAACAGAAGUAUUCAUUUUCAAUCUCUUCUCUCUAAGUAGUCUAGUCCAUUCACAAAGUGUUGCUGGUACACCACUCAUUUGGGUUGCUGGUCAUGAACAACCUCCUGCUUAUUGAUGAUUUCCACCAGUAACAACAUCUGGGGUUCAGUAGGAUCAUGCUUGCAGAUGUGUGUCCCUUGAUGGAUGAGCAGUUACUUCAUGUAUUUGUCUUUUAGAUUUCAUUUUUCUAUUGAACACAAAAUGUUAGUGUUAGAGCUUGCUCAG